rnacentral:rRNA from 1 species
AACGAACGCUGGCGGCAUGCCUAACACAUGCAAGUCGAACGAGACCUUCGGGUCUAGUGGCGCACGGGUGCGUAACGCGUGGGAACCUGCCCUUAGGUUCGGAAUAACUCUCCGAAAGGGGUGCUAAUACCGGAUAAUGUCUUCGGACCAAAGAUUUAUCGCCUUUGGAUGGGCCCGCGUUGGAUUAGCUAGUUGGUAGGGUAAAAGCCUACCAAGGCGACGAUCCAUAGCUGGUCUGAGAGGAUGAUCAGCAACACUGGGACUGAGACGCGGCCCAGACUCCUACGGGAGGCAGGAGUGGGGGAUAUUGGACAAUGGGGGGAAGGCUGAACCCGCCAUGCCGCGUAAGUUAUGAAGGUCUUAAGGUUGUAAAGCUCUUUUACCCGGGAUGAUAAUGACAGUACCGGAAGAAUAAGCUCCGGCUAACUCCGUG